GAUGAACGCUGGCGGCGUGCUUAACACAUGCAAGUCGAACGAGAAAUGGAGACGGAAACCUUCGGGCGGAAGGCUUCAUUUCGAGUGGCGGACGGGUGAGUAACGCGUGGGUAACCUGCCUCAUACAGGGGGAUAACAGUUGGAAACGACUGUUAAUACCGCAUAAGACCACAGCACCGCAUGGUGCGGGGGUAAAAACUCCGGUGGUAUGAGAUGGACCCGCGUUCGAUUAGCCAGUUGGUGGGGUAACGGCCCACCAAAGCGACGAUCGAUAGCCGAUCUGAGAGGAUGACCGGCCACAUUGGGACUGAGACACGGCCCAAACUCCUACGGGAGGCAGCAGUGGGGAAUAUUGCACAAUGGGGGAAACCCUGAUGCAGCGACGCCGCGUGAGUGAAGAAGUACUUCGGUAUGUAAAGCUCUAUCAGCAGGGAAGAAAAUGACGGUACCUGAGGAAGAAGCCCCGGCUAACUACGUG
rnacentral:rRNA from 1 species